GACAGAGGGUGCAAACGUUGUUCGGAUUUACUGGGCGUAAAGCGCGUGUAGGCGGCUUCGUAAGUUGGAUGUGAAAUCCCACGGCUCAACCGUGGACGUGCAUCCAAAACUACGUCGCUGGAGUCUCGGAGAGGAAGGUGGAAUGCUUGGUGUAGAGGUGAAAUUCGUAGAUAUGGGGAGGAACACCGGUGGCGAAGGCGGCCAUCUGGACGGCUAUUGACGCUGAGACGCGAAAGCAUGGGGAGCAAACAGG
rnacentral:rRNA from 1 species